GGAACCUGGGAUUUCAAGGGCCGACAGGAAACCUCGAGCAGGGAACUCUGGGCUUGCGGAGGAACCUUGUUUCCCUUUUUUUCUUCCCCCCGACUUUCACUCGAUAAAACCCUGCUUUAUUCACCCUUUAAACCUUCUCCAAACCUAAAUUUUCCUGGCCAUGGGACGGACAAGAACCCAGUCUUCAGCUGAAGGAAGGAAAAGUCCUGCAACAUUCUUGGCAUGCAACGUUGGGGCUCUUGAAGAGGCCUGAAAACAACUAACUCAGCCUAAGAAUGCAUCUGUCUGCUAAUUCACUUUGAAGAAGUUGCAAGACAGAAAAGUAAUCUACAGACAGCUUACAACAGUGCUGCACACUAUUAAUCUGACUUCACAGUGAGACGCUGAGAAAGGUGAAGUAAGUGGACUGAGAGCCACAGCUCCCAAGGGCAAUGCUUGGAUAGGAACCCAGAUCUUUACCUUCAAAGAAAGCUACAGGACUCAGCAAACAUGCUUAGAUAUCUGCUUCGGUGUGAAACGUAUAAUGAAAGAAGACUUCAUAAGCAGCUGUUUCUUAAGAAGCUUCUGUUAUACAAAUAUGACACAGUUAAUGAACAGAACUAGAGAGCAAUCUGCUACAUCUGUCUUCAAAGGACAAGGAAGAUAGCAAUCAAUACUGUAUUUACGACGGCAUUUUUCACCUGAAAAGUUUCCACUUAUUCACCGCUUGUGUCUAAGAAAGACAGGCUUUUUUUUACUUAAAAUUUCUCCCUUGCUGCUUACCUAUUUUAGUGGUAGCAGCAGUUGUAUAAACUUAGUAAGAACAGUUAUUAAUGUGUAAACUGAAUUAAUUAAUAUCUCUUUGAACAAAACAAAUGGAAGUGUGCCUAACCACUGUUUCUACCACUGGCUGAGGGAAAGAAGGCAUUUCCAUAGCUGGAGCAGGUAAUAAAAUGCAGAGCCAGAGGAGAGAGCAUUAUACAAGAAUCAUUUUUUAAAGGAAAGAAGACAAAGUGUGCCAAUUCCAUUUUAAAGAUGAAGGAGACAAAGAUUCUGAAGGGUAUAUAUCCAAAGAUAAUAAAAACAUGAAAUUUGC